ensembl:lncRNA
AUCGCUAUCUGCAGUUAGUGUUAAAAAUACUGCUAUUUUCACUCAGUGUAUAUAGCCUCUAUUGCUAUUAGCACAUCAUAGCAUCUUUCACUAUGUGCACUUAGUGUAAAUAACAUCUAUCCCUAAGAAAAUAUGCUAUUUUCAUUUAGUGCAAAAACCCGCUGGCAUAAAUUAAUCCUAAUCACAAUAAUGUUUUAAAGGUGCACUAAGCAAUUUUUUAAAAACGCUUUUGACGACACUGUCGGACUAUAUCCUAAAACACACUUGCAGCCAAUCAGCAGUAAGAGGGCGUGUCUUGUAAUGACAGAAGAGAGAAGAGAGCAAUCAGUCUGAGAGCGCACAGGGCUGAUACAGGCAGAUCGACUAUACAUAGAGAGAACUUGAAGAUAAAAAAAUUAAAAAUAUCGGCGGAACAAGACAUUAAAAAGAAGGGUUACGACCAGGCAAGAGGUAGACAUCUUCCCAGCGGUGCAGAGAACUCAAGGAGCGGGAGGGGCUCGAAUCGGACUCCGAGGUUGUGGUUUCUUUUUAUUAUAGCCACACACACGUUGCAAAGUUUCGGGAAUGACAUCUGCGUAUUUAUGUGGGAUUCACUCUCGAAGUAGCAGUGAUUGACACAAUGAUGACAAGAGCAAUAGACGGGAUGUGAAAAUGGGCAUUAUUUCUGAGCGCGCAUAUUCUGUACAUCACGGAGAUCUUCCGCAGGUAAUAGAUACAGAGACAGUGUAACAGCAUGGCCACUGCAGCUGAAAAAGACACAGUAUGGAUCGGGUUCAUGGACAUCGUUCCGGUCAUCGGGACGGUAAAAGAGGCAGUGGAGCUGGUGCUGGCUCUGUACGAAGGGAAUAAAGCAGUGAUAAAGGAGAAAGAGAAGGCCAUUGAAAACAUUCUGAAAGAGUCAUCAGAAAUACAUGAGAAGGAAAACUAUGUGAAAAAGUUGACUCUAGCUGAUAAACCAGCAGCAGCAGCUGCAGAUGAAUUUUCUGGACUCAGAAAUGUGAGAGAGGUCAGAAAGGAAAUGAUUAUUGAGUAUAUGGCCAAAGGUUCCAAAAAGGGAACAAAACCUCCAACUCCAGCUGAGCAAAAAGAGAGACAGAAAAAAGUGGAGGCUAUUCAGAAAGACAUGUUAGAAAAGAUCUGUAUCCUCAAACCAAACUUCAAUGAGGAGCUGAAGGAUGAACUGCGAAGGUCAAAAAGAGGGGAACAUGUCUUCAACAAUGACAUUCUUAAAUUUCAUUCCAAGGUGCUGACUGAGUUUAUACAAAGAUAUAGUAUUUAUAAUCUACCAAGAUAUAAUCAGCAGGCAAUGAAUGAAUUAGGCAGACACACACUUCCCCAAAACACAGCAACAGAUAUUCAGACAAACAUGGUGGUUCACUUUCGUGAUGAUGAAUUCUACAUGAAUGCAAAUGCAGUGAUGUAUGGUGAAUAUUGCAGAGCACUGCGUGGUGCUUUGUUAGAUGUGCUGCGCCACAUAAACCCAGGUGACGUGGAAGAUGAGGAGAGACAAAGGGUGAAUUUUGUCAUAGAUAAUAUGAAUAACUUUGAAAUCUAUGUGGACCAACUGGCAAAGGAAAAGUGGAUUGGCAAUAAUGCGACUAGACAGGCCCGGUUUAAACAGGUAAAACAGGAAGUUGUGACCAUGUACAAACAAAAACGUGGGGAUGAGUGGUGCAUUUGCAUUCUGGAUGUAGUUGCACCUUUGUUUAAAUGUGGAUAGUGAGUUUAUUUCUCCUGUUCAAGGUUGCCAGGUUUCCUUUCAAAAUUUCUAGCUCAAUUAGCUCAAAAAGUUUGGACACUGGAAGAAAGAGACAUCAGUUUUUUUCUUUCCAAAAAAAGUUCACAGUGUAUAUACAUUUGUAUAUCUGCAAUAUUUCCAACACACUUAGUGUCAGAGUUUUGUCAUCCAUUCCGUUAUGACUGUUAACCUCUCCAUAAUCCUGUUUUUCCUCUCCCAGCAUGUGCAGGAAUGGCUUCGUACAUUUUCCAUACAUUACACUUUCCNUUUGCCUCCCCCCCCCCCCCCCCCUCCCAAAAAAAAACACCACCCAUGGACUUGCUUUUUCUACCACAGCCUUGUUCCAAAACUGAAAACUCUGACUUUGGCAACCCUGCUCCUCAAAAUGAUUUUUUUUUUCUUAAAAAAAAAGUGAAUUUCCAACAUAAAGAUUAAUGCAUGCAGCUAAAUGUCUGUAACUAAAAUUUAAAGCUGAGCCUGAUAACAAGUUGAAGUUUAGUUCUUAUUAAAAUGACUGUGUGUAAAUGUGAAGCAGAACGGGGAUGUUGGAGCUUUGAGAAAAACAUGUUUGGAUAUGUGGGUAUGAUACGAGUUUAUAUUAAAGAUGUAUACAUUAUUAUUUGACUUAAUAGCACAGCUUGUAGCUUAUUACACAGACAUCCUCACUGUUAUUGUAAACUUUCUUCAGUUUUCAGAUGAUUCAUGCUGAUGAUUGAAUUAUGAUAUUUUACCAUUUACUAGAAUUAUCUGAUUACGGUUACUAACUGUUUUGAUGCAAAAUUCCUGGAAAGCAUGCUGAGCUGCAUUUACAUGUAUGGAACAAGCUCCAUGGAAAUAUGUUUAAAAUAAAAUAAAGUCAUUACUAACA